AAUUGCAGAACUGAAACCAGUGGCUCGCCUGCUCUUAUGAAUGAACAUGUAUGCUUCACUUCAUUAUGUGACCAAAGGGUCACAGACUUGCUCUUAUGACGAGUGGAUUUUGAGAAGAGGAAAUGGUCACUCUCCAAAAUAUCCCAUGGUCAUUGCAACAGGGCAGUGAUGCAGAGAACAAGAGGAUGGUGAUCAGCCUAAGGGUGAGUCACUGACAGCUGUUCUCAGAGACAGGACGUUGACCUCAGACUGGGAAGCUCCAAGAUUUGCAGUGAUGCCAUAUGGAAAUAUUUCACCAGAGACCGCUGAGAGCCUUCCAGUGCCUCCCUGAGACUCUGUCCUCUACCCAGGAAGGCAAAAACAUUCUCCUGCAGUUGGAUGGGGAAGAACCAGAGCUGCUCAGCUACUGAAGCCCAGACAACCAUAGGAUUUACUUCUUCUGAAGACCCAGUGGUGCACACAAAGAAAUACAAGUGUGGAUUUAGACAUCUACGAAGCUCUGAACUCUGCUCCUGCCGAGAGGAAAUCAUUACCCACAUCAGUUCCCUGAAAGGGGAGGGCGCCGGGCAGGAGAAGCACAAACACCACGGAAAAACCCUAAAGCGCUUGUUAUGAAUAAAAUGUCUAGCCCAGCUUUAAUCAUGGAACAGAAUGGCUCACAACAACAUAGGACUCCUGUUUAUGAUACGGACAGACACUUUUUUCCCCCCAGGAGAGUUUUAUUUUAGGUGAUAAAAACAAGGAGAAAACACUGAAAAAGUCAGGGGAAAGUAACAGGCUCCUCAGCAGCACAAGUGCCAGUUUGCACCUGGGCAGUGUGGAGAAGAAAAGGAGCUUCACAGUGGCCUGACCUUUUUAAAGCUUCCCUUCCGUUCCCAAAUGCGGGCUUAGCUGGUUGUCCGAAAUGAGCUGCUUGGAGAAGCCCAGAGAGACUGCUGAACCAGGAAAAGGGCACGCGGGUGGCUGGCUAGGGGCAGUAUUGCCCUUGGGUGCUCCCUAUGCAGACAGUGAGAGAGAGGGGGACCAUCUGAUGGGGUGAUGGCACCCACCCGCUGCUUGGCCACAGACUCCUCUCUGCAGGGAAAUUUUCAGUGAUUUUCUUCCUAGCACUGCUACAGGCCAUGGAGCUGCCACACGUGAUGUCAGGGGACACCAAUUCCCUUCCUUUUCAUGAAAGGCUGAAGGGGAAUAUUUAAGCCAUCAUGACUGACACAGAAGCCAAGGCUGUGCCAAAAGCACCACCUUGACAAUCUUUUCCACUCUCUCCUUUCAGAACAGUCAAGCAAACUCUUCCUCCCAGAAAUCGCCUGAAAUU
rnacentral:lncRNA from 1 species